UCGAGAAUCUUCGGCAAUGGGCGAAAGCCUGACCGAGCGACGCCGCGUGCGGGAUGAAGGCCCUCGGGUUGUAAACCGCUGUCAGUGGGGAGGAAGGCUCUGUGAAGAGCAGGGUUUGACCUAUCCGCAGAGGAAGUCCGGGCUAAGUUCGUGCCAGCAGCCGCGGUAACACGAACCGGACAAACGUUAUUCGGAAUCACUGGGCUUAAAGGGUGCGUAGGCGGCCUGACAAGUUGGGUGUGAAAGCCCUCGGCUUAACCGAGGAAUUGCGCUCAAAACUGUUGGGCUUGAGGGAGUUAGGGGUGAGCGGAACUUAGGGUGGAGCGGUGAAAUGCGUUGAUAUCCUAAGGAACACCAGUGGCGAAAGCGGCUCACUGGAGCUCUUCUGACGCUGAGGCACGAAAGCUAGGGGAGCGAACG
rnacentral:rRNA from 1 species